GACGAACGCUGGCGGCGUGCUUAACACAUGCAAGUCGAACGAUGAAGCCGGAGCUUGCUCUGGUGAAUUAGUGGCGAACGGGUGAGUAACACGUGAGUAACCUGCCCUUGACCCUGGGAUAACUGCGGGAAACUGUAGCUAAUACCGGAUACGACCCUCGGCGGCAUCGCCAGGGGGUGGAAAGAAUUUCGGUCAAGGAUGGACUCGCGGCCUAUCAGCUAGUUGGUGAGGUAACGGCUCACCAAGGCGACGACGGGUAGCCGGCCUGAGAGGGUGACCGGCCACACUGGGACUGAGACACGGCCCAGACUCCUACGGGAGGCAGCAGUGGGGAAUAUUGCACAAUGGGCGCAAGCCUGAUGCAGCAACGCCGCGUGAGGGAUGACGGCCUUCGGGUUGUAAACCUCUUUUAGUAGGGAAGAAGCGAAAGUGACGGUACCUGCAGAAAAAGCACCGGCUAACUACGUGCCAGCAGCCGCGGUAA
rnacentral:rRNA from 1 species